AAAAAAGAAAAAAAGUUUGAACUCGUAUUUGCUGUUAAUCUGACAGAAGGAAGGUGUUUAGCUUCGUGACAUCACAGACUCCGCCCACACACACACACACACAUAAUUUCCUGCCCUGCUCCCAUGGCAGCAACAAGGAAAUAAUCAUAUAAACACGAUAAAACAUGCAGGACGAUGAAGAGAGACGUCAGGAGUCAGAGAAGAAGAUCAGAUGAAGACUGAAGAAAGAGACGAAUAUCAACAUGUCCACCAGAAUGUUUGUCGUCCACAAUCCUCCUCGCAGGAGAAGACGGAGCAGAGACGAACCUCCUCUGAUGAGGAUUGUUGUUCUGGGGAAGAGUGUGUCUGAAAAUAGUCUGGUGGGGAACUUGAUCUUAGGACGAGCAGCGUUUGACAGUGAAUCUCC